rnacentral:rRNA from 1 species
GAUGAACGCUGGCGGCGUGCCUAAUACAUGCAAGUCGAGCGAACGGACGAGAAGCUUAAUUCCCUGAUGUACGCGGCGGACGGACACGCACACGAGGAUAACCUACCACUAAGACUGGGAUAACUUCGGGAAACCGGAGCUAAUACCGGAUAAUAUUUUGAACCGCAUGGUUCAAAAGUGAAAGACGGUCUUGCUGUCACUUAUAGAUGGAUCCGCGCUGCAUUAGCUAGUUGGUAAGGUAACGGCUUACCAAGGCAACGAUGCAUAGCCGACCUGAGAGGUUGAUCGGCCACACUGGACCUGAGACACGGUCCAGACUCCUACGGGAGGCAGCAGUAGGAAACCUGCCGCAAUGGGCGAAAGCCUGACGGAGCAACGCCGCGUGAGUGAUGAAGGUCUUCGGAUCGUAAAACUCGGUUAUUAGGGAAGAACAUAUGUGUAAGUAACUGUGCACAUCUUGACGUUACCUAAUCAGAAAGCCACGGCUAACUACGU